UACAACCAUAUCAUGUUGAAACACCGGUUCCCAUACAAUCACUGAAGUUAAGCAACAUUGAGUCAGUACUUAGAUGGGUGACCAUUUAGGAAUAUCAGGUCCUG